CCAAUAGCGUAUAUUAAAGUUGUUGUGGUUAAAAAGCUCGUAGUUGAACCUUGGGCCUGGCUGGCCGGUCCGCCUCACCGCGUGUACUGGUCCGGCCGGGCCUUUCCCUCUGUGGAACCCCAUGCCCUUCACUGGGUGUGGCGGGGAAACAGGACUUUUACUUUGAAAAAAUUAGAGUGCUCCAGGCAGGCCUAUGCUCGAAUACAUUAACAAGGAAUAAUAAAAUAGGACGUGCGGUUCUAUUUUGUUGGUUUCUAGGACCGCCGUAAUGAUUAAUAGGGACAGUCGGGGGCAUCAGUAUUCAAUUGUCAGAGGUGAAAUUCUUGGAUUUACUGAAGACUAACUACUGCGAAAGCAUUUGCCAAGGAUGUUUUCAUUAAUCAGGAACGAAAGUUAGGGGAUCGAAGACGAUCAGAUACCGUCGUAGUCUUAACCAUAAACUAUGCCGACUAGGGAUCGGACGAUGUUAUUUUUUGACUCGUUCGGCACCUUACG
rnacentral:rRNA from 1 species